UCCACCCUCAACAUCUCACCCUCUAAAAGACAAGAACAAAUCAGCAUGGCAGAAAAAAAAAUUUCCAGACUUCAUUUCAAAGAUCGGACAACAUGGGGUCUAGAGAAAUGGAAAGAAAAUUGCCCUUUAUAAAAUGAAUAAAUGGCUGUGAGUUUGGAACUCUGGUAGGGACCUGAACUCUACAAAGAUAACAUCACUCUUGUGACACCUAACAGUGGUCUUGGAGAUAUCUUCCAGACCCUGCCUUCCAGUGGUCAGGCUGACCCAACCAGAUGAGUGGCUCACACCAAGGAACUGACUCAACUGGUCUUGUGAUCCCCAUCCAGGAACUGACUCAGUGCAAGAAGACAAUUUCUACACCCCUGUGAUUUCUCCUCAAACCCAACUAAUUAGCACUACUGAUUCCCUAAUCCCUGCCUGCCAACUCAUCCUUAAAAUGCUAAUCUCCAAAUGUUCUGGGAGACAGAUUUGAGAAACAUCUCCCAUUUCUUAACUUGGUGCCCUGUGAUAUUAAACUCUUUCUCCACUACAA